rfam:Asian citrus Psyllid, Diaphorina citri - Florida Strain, whole genome shotgun sequence.
GCUCCCAUGGCGUAGUGGUCACUGCGCUCGCCUUGCACGCGGGAGACCCGGGUUCGAUUCUCGGCGGGGUCA